CCUACGGGUGGCAGCAGUAGGGAAUCUUCGGCAAUGGACGAAAGUCUGACCGAGCAACGCCGCGUGAGUGAAGAAGGUUUUCGGAUCGUAAAACUCUGUUGGUAGAGAAGAACGUUGGUGAGAGUGGAAAGCUCAUCAAGUGACGGUAACUACCCAGAAAGGGACGGCUAACUACGUGCCAGCAGCCGCGGUAAUACGUAGGUCCCGAGCGUUGUCCGGAUUUAUUGGGCGUAAAGCGAGCGCAGGUGGUUUAUUAAGUCUGGUGUAAAAGGCAGUGGCUCAACCAUUGUAUGCUUUUGAAACUGUUGAACUAGAUUGCAGGAGAGGUAAGUGGAAUUCCUAGUGUAGCGGUGAAAUGCGUAGAUAUUAGGAGGAACACCAGUGGCGAAGGCGGCUUACUGGACUGUAAAUGACGCUGAGGCUCGAAAGCGUGGGGGGCAAACAGGAUUAGAUACCCGUGUAGUC
rnacentral:rRNA from 1 species